AGGACGAACGCUGGCGGCGUGCUUAACACAUGCAAGUCGAGCGGAAAGGCCCUUCGGGGGUACUCGAGCGGCGAACGGGUGAGUAACACGUGAGCAACCUGCCCCUGGCUCUGGGAUAGCUCCGGGAAACCGGGAUUAAUACCGGACAUGACCUUCUCCUGCAUGGGAGUUGGUGGAAAGUUUUUCGGCCAGGGUGGGGCUCGCGGCCUAUCAGCUUGUGGGGGGGUGACGGCCCACCAAGGCGACGACGGGUAG
rnacentral:rRNA from 1 species